GACAGAGGAUGCAAGCGUUAUCCGGAAUGAUUGGGCGUAAAGCGUCUGUAGGUGGCUUUUUAAGUCCGCCGUCAAAUCCCAGGGCUCAACCCUGGACAGGCGGUGGAAACUACCAAGCUGGAGUACGGUAGGGGCAGAGGGAAUUUCCGGUGGAGCGGUGAAAUGCGCAGAUAUCAGGAGGAACACCGGUGGCGAAGGCGGAUCUCUGGGCCUUACCUGACGCUGAGGCGCGAAAGCUAGGGGAGCGAACAGG
rnacentral:rRNA from 1 species